rnacentral:sRNA from 12 species
CCCGGAGUGCCACCGGCUUUAACAGAGACUUGUGGCAGUGUGGUUUGUAAAUUCAGCAAUCCACCGGUAGCGUAAUGAAUCGUGAAGACCCCCGUUGAUAAGGAAUAAGGGCAGGUCACGUUGCUAUUGGUUAUCUAUACCAGUCUGCUUGGUUGCCCGGAGCUAUAAAAAAGUCUCCUUCAACGAAGCAUUCAUCUCCAGUGAUUGCUCUAAGC